AGAGGGACAAGCGGCUCCUAGCCGCACGAAACAGAGCAAUAACAAGUCUGUGAUGCCCUUAGAUGCCCGGGGCCACACGAGCGCUGCACUGAAGAAAGCAGCGUGUUUUUAUCCCUGUCUGUUAAGCCAGUAAGCUUAGAAAAAAGUGGCUUGAGCAAAUACAGAGGAUAAUUAAAGUCUAUCGGAUUACACCCGAGCAAGUGUUCGUCCCU
rnacentral:ncRNA from 1 species